AUGCCAGCGAUGUGGGCACAGCUUUGCCCGCUGGGCACCAGCCCCCCCGGCAGCUCCACACCGCCCCUGGCUCCUGCUGGGUGCCCCCCGGACGGCUGUUCGCGCCCUAAAGCAAAAGCUGCGGCGGCAGCGACCCUCGGGCUGCUCUGUGCCCCGGGAGAGUCCCCCCGUCCCACUUCAGCACUCCGGGCCGUCGGCGCGGAGCUCCCCGCUUGCAGCGCCCCGGGCCCGGCCCCAACCCGCCGCCCGUCCCCUUCCCGCCAGCGGCGGCGGUGCCCGCGGCGGGGCGGGCGCAGGGGGCGGGCGCGGGGCGGGGGGAGGCGGGGCGGAGGCGGCCGGAGCCCCCGGGAUCCGCCGGCACCUCCCGGGCCCGGCACUCGCCGCCACCAACUUCGGCCGGGAGUCGCCCUCGGAGCCGCCGAUCUCGCAGCCCAGCGCCGCCGAGGAGGGCAGCGCCGGGAGCCGCCCCCCGCUCCCCUCUCGCCGCCGGCGGGGGCUCAGCGCGGCGCGGGGGCCGCGGCCCCCGGGGCAGGUGCGUCCCCAAGCGGUCUCCGGCCGCCGCGGCGGGGGGCGCGGGGCCCCGAGCCCGCCGUGGGCACCCGCUCACCUGCCGCCACCGCUCGGGGACACGGCGCCUGGGAGAUGCAGGUAGGAGGCGGCCCCGGCCGGCGGCGGGGCAGGGAGGAGGAGGAGGAGGAGGAGAAGGGCGGAGAGGGAGGCGUCCCGCUGCCGGGCGGCGCGGCUCCGCGGGCCGCUCCCGUCCCGUCCACGGCGAGAGGCGGCGCCGGGGGUCGCCGCGCUCCGGCAGCCCCGAGCACGGCAGCCCCGAGCGCGGCCUCCCGCCCUCGGCAGCACCGCACAUCCCUCCCACCCUCGGACGGGCGCCGCUCCGCGCUGCUCCGGCGGCGGGAAGGGGCCGUCGGGGGGCGCCGAGCGGGGCGCGGGCUGGGGUCGGGCGGGUCCUCCGGCGCCCUUCGGUGCGGCGCGGAAGGUCGGGUCGCGGCCGGACGCUCCUCGGUGAUGCGACGGGCGGGACGGGCAAAGCAGGUGUACCCCGGUAAGGAGGGCGGUACGCCCGGAGGAGAAGGGGUGUUCCUCUGGGACGAGGUCCCGUGCCCUCCUGCGAGCCCCGUGCCAACGCUGUCGCUCUGGCCCUCGUGCCUUCAAUACGGGAGCGGCCUCGAGGAGGGCAGCAGCGCGGGAGAUGGUGCUCAUGCCCUGGAAACACGCUCAAGUAGCGAUGGAGAGUGUCGUGUCACGGCACCGCGGUGCCAGCAUCACAGCUGUGCCCGGAACAAGCACGCUGUACAUUGA
rnacentral:lncRNA from 1 species